GUGGHCAAACAUGGHUGCAACGGGUAACGGAGGGKKAGGGCUCGACCCCGGAGAAGGAGCCUGAGAAACGGCUACUACAUCCAAGGAAGGCAGCAGGCGCGCAAAUUACCCAAUCCCGAUUCGGGGAGGUAGUGACAAUAAAUACUGAUACAGGGCUCUUUUGGGUCUUGUAAUUGGAAUGAGUACAAUUUAAAUCCCUUAACGAGGAACAAUUGGAGGGCAAGUCUGGUGCCAGCAGCCGCGGUAAUUCCAGCUCCAAUAGCGUAUAUUAAAGUUGUUGUGGUUAAAAAGCUCGUAGUUGAACCUUGGGCCUGGCUGGCCGGUCCGCCUCACCGCGUGUACUGGUCCGGCCGGGCCUUUCCCUCUGUGGAACCCCAUGCCCUUCACUGGGCGUGGCGGGGAAACAGGACUUUUACUUUGAAAAAAUUAGAGUGCUCCAGGCAGGCCUAUGCUCGAAUACAUUAGCAUGGAAUAAUGAAAUAGGACGUGCGGUUCUAUUUUGUUGGUUUCUAGGACCGCCGUAAUGAUUAAUAGGGACAGUCGGGGGCAUCAGUAUUCAAUUGUCAGAGGUGAAAUUCUUGGAUUUAUUGAAGACUAACUACUGCGAAAGCAUUUGCCAAGGAUGUUUUCAUUAAUCAG
rnacentral:rRNA from 2 species